rfam:Ipomoea nil DNA, scaffold: scaffold1286, cultivar: Tokyo-kokei standard.
GUGCUCAUGGCCUAAUGGAUAAGGUGCUUGACUUCUAAUCAAGCGAUUGUGGGUACGAGUCCCACUGGGCGUG